rfam:Denitrovibrio acetiphilus DSM 12809, complete genome.
GGGCGGUUAGCUCAGUUGGAUAGAGCACAGGCCUCCGAAGCCUGGUGUCGUGAGUUCGAUUCUCAUGCCGCCCA